GGGCCUGUAGCUCAGAGGAUUAGAGUGCAUGGCUAUGAACCACGGAGUCGGGGGUUCGAAUCCCUCCUUUCCUA
rfam:Nicotiana sylvestris Nsyl_contig20768, whole genome shotgun sequence.